rnacentral:rRNA from 1 species
AGAGUUUGAUCAUGGCUCAGGAUGAACGCUGGCGGCGUGCCUAACACAUGCAAGUCGAGCGGAGUUUUAUGAGAGCUUGCUUUUAUAAAACUUAGCGGCGGACGGGUGAGUAACGCGUGGGUAACCUGCCCUAUACACAGGGAUAACAUUGAGAAAUUGAUGCUAAUACCUGAUAAGCCAACAAGUAGGCAUCUACAAGUUGGAAAAACUGAGGUGGUAUAGGAGGGGCCCGCGUCUGAUUAGCUAGUUGGUGGGGUAAAGGCCUACCAAGGCGACGAUCAGUAGCCGACCUGAGAGGGUGAUCGGCCACAUUGGAACUGAGACACGGUCCAAACUCCUACGGGAGGCAGCAGUGGGGAAUAUUGCACAAUGGGGGGAACCCUGAUGCAGCAACGCCGCGUGAAGGAAGAAGUAUUUCGGUAUGUAAACUUCUAUCGACAGGGAAGAAAGAAAUGACGGUACCUGAAUAAGAAGCACCGGCUAAAUACGUGCCAGCAGCCGCGGUAAUACGUAUGGUGCAAGCGUUAUCCGGAUUUACUGGGUGUAAAGGGUGAGUAGGCGGUUAUGCAAGUCAUAUGUGAAAUUCUGGGGCUCAACCUCAGAGCUGCAUAAGAAACUGUGUAACUAGAGUACAGGAGAGGUAAGCGGAAUUCCUAGUGUAGCGGUGAAGUGCGUAGAUAUUAGGAAGAACACCGGUGGCGAAGGCGGCUUACUGGACUGAAACUGACGCUGAGUCACGAAAGCGUGGGGAGCGAACAGGAUUAGAUACCCUGGUAGUCC